rnacentral:rRNA from 1 species
UACGUAGGGUGCAAGCGUUAUCCGGAAUCACUGGGCGUAAAGCGUGCGUAGGCGGCCGUUUAAGUGAGGUGCUAAAUCGUGUGGCUCAACCAUAUCGAUGCAUCUCAUACUGGGCUUCUAGAGGAUGGCAGAGGCAAGUGGAAUUGGUAGUGUAGCAGUGAAAUGCGUAGAUAUUACCAGGAACACCAAUGGCGAAGACAGCUUGCUGGGCCACACCUGACGCUGAGUCACGAAAGCGUGGGGAGCGAACAGG